GUAGAAAAAGUUCUUGCUUUUUAUAUAUAAUAGGACUCAUUUUAACACUGAAGGGGAAUUUGAAGAAGAAGUUUAGAGAUAAAAAUUUUCAGCACUUAUGAGUAAAAGGGAGGUCUUUUCUUUACCGCUGAAUAUCUGAACUAGUAUUAUUAUUACUUCACUGGUUAUUGCUGGAUUUUCUGCUUGGUUUUUUAAAUCUAUUCUUGGGUCUUCCUGCACUGUUUGUUAGUGGUUUACUGCUUUGAUUGUUGAACCUAUUGUUGUUGCGUUGUGCUACUGCUGCAUUACUGACUUCUUCCUCUUCUUUGAUUUUCAAAUACCAAGUACACGACUGUAACACUAGCUAUUGUAAGCUGAAAAAUGUAGAAGCAUGAAUACAUAUAAAGAUGGAAGUUUGAAGUUUUGAUUUAUCUUUUCUUCUUUACGUGAUUUUA
rnacentral:lncRNA from 1 species